rnacentral:snRNA from 1 species
CAGCAAAAACCAGAAGGAU